rnacentral:rRNA from 1 species
UACGGAGGGUGCAAGCGUUGUCCGGAAUUACUGGGCGUAAAGGGCGCGUAGGCGGGAUGGCAAGUCGGUCGUGAAAUCCCUCGGCUCAACUGAGGAUCGUCGAUCGAUACUGCCGUUCUUGAGGAUUGCAGAGGAGACUGGAAUUCCCGGUGUAGCGGUGAAAUGUGUAGAGAUCGGGAGGAACACCGGUGGCGAAGGCGGGUCUCUGGGCAAUUCCUGACGCUGAGGCGCGAAAGCGUGGGGAGCAAACGGG